AAUUCUGCAGAAUGCAAAUUUUUGAUUCUUUAGCUCUCGAAAACCUUCCACAACUCACUUUUACCACUUUAACACCUCCGGACUUUCCGAAAUGUACCAACCUCGCACUUUGGUCAAUUUGACUAAAGUUCGAUAUUUAUUCGCCGAAGUUUUUCGGUAUGUUACAUUCUCCACCCCUUAAAAUAAUUUCGUCCUCGAAAUUAACCAUACCUUAACUUGUCGACUCGAAUAAGUGCGGAUAUUCCCGCCAUACUGAUUCCUCGAGCUCCCAAGUGGCUUCUCGCACCGCAUGGUUGCUCCAUUGAACUUUCACAUAGGGAAUCCUACGACUCCGCAACUUUCGUUCUUCCCGAUCGAGGAUGCAUACGGGUUACUCCUUAUAAGACAUGUCCUCGCGUAACUCCACGGGCUCAUACUCAAGUACAUGUGUCGAGUUGCGAAUAUACUUUCGGAGAUUUGACACAUGAAACACAUUAUGAACUCCCGUGAGUCUCGGUGGUAGUGCGAGCUUGUAAGCCACCGCACCCACACGCUCCAGUAUCUCGAAUGGUCCGACAUAACGGGGACUUAGCUUCCCGCGGACCCCAAAGCGCUUAACUCCGCGCAUUGGUGAUACUCUAAAGAAUACGCGGUCGCCAACCGCGAACUCUAAAUCCUUUCUUCGCUUAUCGACGUAACUUUUCUGUCGAGAUUGCGCCGCCGCUAAUUGUUGACGAGCAAGACGAACCUUUUCCUCCGCCUCCCGUACCACAUCCGGCCCAAGGGCCGCUUUCUCUCCCACGUCGCAAAAGAAAGCUUCAAACAUAAAAGAGAUUCAAACAAAACCAUUUCUAGGGUUUCUACAUGAGAAGGAUGAAAGCUUACCUCAAAGCCUUCCUUUCUUUGCUCCAAAGAGGAAGAGGAAGAAGUUGCUCCACUCCUUGAUCUUCUUCUCCACUUUCCUUCUCUUUCUUCUCCUUCCUUUUUUCCUUCUUCUUCUCUUUUCUUCCUUCCCUUUCUUCUCUUCUUUGUCUUCCUAGAGAGAGAAAGAGGGAUGAGAGAGAGUGAGAGGGUUAGAAAUGAGAGAAAUAUCUCAUUUCCCCUCCUACAUAGCUCAAUAGAUUGCAUAAUUGCAAAUAGGCCCCUCAACUUUCAUGUUUUCAAAUUGCCAGAACUGGGCAGUUUCGGGCUCGGGGACCGGUCUCCCCGACCUGGGACCAGUCCCAGAGGGCUCUCCCGCAGGCUGGCAAAGCUCCAGCCAGAAGCAACCGGUCUCUGCUUAGGGAACCGGUCUCUCGGGGACCGGUCUCUCCCACAGAGACCGGUUCCCGAGAGCUUGUUUUUUGGGACUUAGCCAAAUUUUUGGCUGUCUCGUUUCUUUCGCGUUCGGGGACCGGUCUCUCCUACCAGGGACCGGUCCCCGAGAGCUGAAAUUCUGCAGAAUGCAAAUUUUUGAUUCUUUAGCUCUCGAAAACCUUCCACAACUCACUUUUACCACUUUAACACCUCCGGACUUUCCGAAAUGUACCAACCUCGCACUUUGGUCAAUUUGACUAAAGUUCGAUAUUUAUUCGCCGAAGUUUUUCGGUAUGUUACAUUCUCCACCCCUUAAAAUAAUUUCGUCCUCGAAAUUAACCAUACCUUAACUUGUCGACUCGAAUAAGUGCGGAUAUUCCCGCCAUACUGAUUCCUCGA
rnacentral:lncRNA from 1 species